rnacentral:lncRNA from 1 species
GUUACCUUGAUAGCAUAGGGCGGCUCUUCGAAAGUGACCAGCAUAUACCUGUCUCCUCUGCUGGCAGGGUCCCGGGCACGGAGCUGCGGGACGGGAGGAGGAACAGGGCGGGCGACAGGGAAGCACAGAGGCGAGGUUACGAGGCGGAGAAGGGGCGCCCAGCGGCCCCGCCGCCCCCACAGUACCGCACACGCAGCGGCCACCCCUCCACGCCGUCCCCCACACACAGAUCGCUCCCCACACACCGCCCGGGGCCGGAGCCCGGGCCCCGGCCGAACCCGGCUCGCAGCGC